rnacentral:lncRNA from 1 species
ACCGGCUUGUCCGGUUACCGGUCGAACCAUUUGUUGCGUUGCUGGUGCAGAAGCUGGAGCUGGAACUUGUGGAGGCGCGUGGUAGACGGUGGCCGGAGCAUGUCCUUGUGCUGGGAUCAUGUAGACUGGAUGUUCAGAGUGCGGAGGUGGGCCGGGGUUUGUAGUUAUGGUUGCAGGGAAACCUCCGGCGGAAAUUGGUUUAUCCGACCAGAAUCCAGCUGUAGCUGGCACAUGUUGUUGGAAAGUUACCGGUAUGUUCACCGGCGGUGCUUUUUCAGGCAUCUUCUGUGCGUAGUAUUCCCCAGUAUAAGCCAUGGAAGCAGCGUCUUCAGUCUUCUUUCGAUACAUAGCGAGCUGUUCUUGAUCCCGAAUUUGAAGUCUUUGCAAUUCCUGUAACUGUCUCUGAAUUUCAACGGGAUUCAAAACAUGAUCUGUCCCCACGACUUCCGGUAUCGGAGGCGGAGGUGGGUUCACCGGUUCCACCACGGGAUCACGGAUUUUCACCGGCGGAGGUUGAGGCAUCCCCUUUUCAAUCCCAAACAAGAAAUCCACAUUGUUUGGUGGAAUCACAACUCCACCCGGAGUCGUGCCGGAAUUUAAUGCCUCUACGAAC